rnacentral:rRNA from 1 species
GACGAACGCUGGCGGCGUGCUUAACACAUGCAAGUCGAACGGAAAGUCCCUGCUUUUGUGGGGUGCUCGAGUGGCGAACGGGUGAGUAACACGUGAGUAACCUGCCCUUGACUUUGGGAUAACUUCAGGAAACUGGGGCUAAUACCUGAUAGGAGCUCCUGCUGCAUGGUGGGGGCUGGCAAGUUUCGGCGGUUGGGGAUGGACUCGCGGCUUAUCAGCUUGUUUGUGGGGUAGUGGCUUACCAAGGCUUUGACGGGUAGCCGGCCUGAGAGGGUGACCGGCCAGAUUGGGACUGGGCUACGGCCCAGACUCCUACGGGAGGCAGAAGUGGGGAAUAUUGCACCAUGGGCGGAAGCCUGAUGCAGCAACGCCGCGUGCGGGAUGACGGACUUCGGGUUGUAAACCGCUUUCGCCUGUGACGAAGCGUGAGUGACGGUAAUGGGUAGAGAAGCACCGGCUAACUACGUG